rnacentral:rRNA from 1 species
CCUACGGGGGGCAGCAGUGGGGAAUAUUGGACAAUGGGGGCAACCCUGAUCCAGCCAUGCCGCGUGUGUGAAGAAGGCCCUCGGGUUGUAAAGCACUUUCAGUGAGGAAGAACGCCUGGUGGUUAAUACCCAUCAGGAAAGACAUCACUCACAGAAGAAGCACCGGCUAACUCCGUGCCAGCAGCCGCGGUAAUACGGAGGGUGUGAGCGUUAAUCGGAAUUACUGGGCGUAAAGCGCGCGUAGGUGGCUUGAUAAGCCGGUUGUGAAAGCCCCGGGCUCAACCUGGGAACGGCAUCCGGAACUGUCAAGCUAGAGUGCAGGAGAGGAAGGUAGAAUUCCCGGUGUAGCGGUGAAAUGCGUAGAGAUCGGGAGGAAUACCAGUGGCGAAGGCGGCCUUCUGGACUGACACUGACACUGAGGUGCGAAAGCGUGGGUAGCAAACAGGAUUAGAUACCCUGGUAGUC